UUCGGUGGUUCAGCGCGGUGGUCACACCUGAUCUCAUUCCGAACUCAGCAGUUAAGCACCGUUGCGGCGAUGAUACUCGCAAGGGGAAAGUAGCUUGCCGCCGGAA
rfam:Candidatus Yonathbacteria bacterium RIFCSPLOWO2_01_FTLL_47_33b rifcsplowo2_01_scaffold_20930, whole genome shotgun sequence.